AGCUCAGCAAUGGCUUGAAGUUCUCUCAACUGGUUCUUGUCUAAUCUCAACGUUUUGAGAUUUUUCAGCUUGUUAAUACUUGUUGGUAAUUCGUCCAGAUAAUUAUCUGGCAAGUCAAGUUCCUCCAAUUCAGUCAGCAAAUAAAUGUUGGAAGUCGGUGCAGUGGCCUGGGUAAAUUCAAGAACUCCAGCUAGCCUCCAGUCCCUCUCAGAAGUCUCUGCAUUGGUUUUCAUCUUCAGGAAAGAGAUAUCCUGUGAGCAGGCUCACCUUUGAGUCACACGCGUGAUUGGCGAAGUGCGAGUCAGCGAGCGAGGAGUCUGGUGCAGAAAGGAAGUCAACCUGCCUUGAUCUCUGAUCUCUGUUGUUCCCAGGGUCUCUCUGUCCUCCUCCCAAGAGUGAGAGAGGUGGACCGUGGGAACGAGGUUAAACUUUGCUGCUUGCACGUGUGUUCCUCAAACGUGAGCCUGUUCGCAGGCUAGGAAAGAGAAUUCCUUGUUUUAUUCAAAUUUCUUUUUGAGGGAUAUUUUUUUUACUCCCAUGACUUUCCUAACAAAUUGUCCUUUCAGUCGUAAAUAAAAACAAAGAAUACUCAAUAUUAGAUUUAGAAUAGCAAAUAAUAAACGGAUGCUCAUUCUGAGAUUUGGAAUAGAAGAUAGUACAUAAAGAUAUUUACUUUAACAAAUAAACUUGCUCAAAAUAUAGCCCUAUCUACGAGGGUCUCAAUGGGGUUAACCGUCAGCCGUCAAACAGCCCAAAAUUUAACCGAAAACCGUC